CAGAAAAUCGCCAUGGAAGCUGUUCCCGUCGCUGAUUCUGGAAAAUAUAUUCCAGCAUCACAGCGUCCUGACGGGACUUGGCGAAAACCAAGGCGUGUGAGAGAAGGAUAUGUGCCUCAGGAGGAAGUGCCAGUGGAGUGAGUCAACUUUUCCAUUUUAAAUAUUUCCAAGGAGGGGACUUCCGGGUCAUCAAGGGAAUGGCGGCGUAAGGAAAAGGUCUCUCGACAAAAAAGAAGGAUCAUGGCGACAGGGAGUGCAGCAACCUCAACAGUUUUUUGAAGAACAUCAGGAACCUCUUUACCAAGCUCCAGCAAGCAUCGAUGUUGCAGUUAAGGAAAAGCAUUUCGAUUUGUGUGUUAAACGUUGAUAAAUUUUGACAAAUGAACAAGGAUUCUAUUGGCAAAAAGAGAAUCUCCAAAGAUAAAUCCUAUGGUUUGGAUUCAGUGAUUGAAACAGGACAACAUCUGCACAUUGAUUGAUUAUAAUGUUGAAUGUCUGUCAAUCAUCUGGGGGGAAAUUAAAUGAGUCUACUGAUGAAUGUCAUUAUUGGAACGGAUACCUUCUGGAAUAUGUAUACUGGAUAGCUUUCUACCAUAGAAAAGGAAACAGCUGAGUCUUUUCCAACACAUUCAAUCACUGAAUGUCAGCAUCUACCAGCAAGAAUCAGACUUCAUCACAGAUUCGCAGGAAGAGGACCAAUCAGCAGGCAUCUGGAGUUAUGUAGUCUUUUACAAAAGACAGCUGGAUGUGAUAUUACAGACAGUGGGAUGAAAACAGCUGAAAUAAAUUCUCCAAAGAACAUCAGGAACCUGUUCAAUGGAGCUCCAUAAAGUCCUUGAUGCCACAGUUGCUUGAAGAAAUGUCAACAUAUACCCGUUCAUGGCCAUUAAAUGCUGGCAUGUGAACUGAGUUAAUUGAGAAACCAGAUCUCCAGUAAGGAAUCUGAAGUUUUGGAUGCAAUAUUUGAUACAGGGUGAUAUUGGUUGAGAUGUUGAAUACUUAUGAAUCGUCUGGGGGGAAAAGAGAAAGGGGCCACUGAUGAAUGCUUUUGGGAAUAUGUAACUUCGAUGGUUAUAUAACAUGGAGAACACCAUAUGGAAGGUUGCAGCACUGCUGAUCUCUGAAUCUUAACAGCCAACCACAGGAUACAAAUCUGAUAAUGAAUUCCCAUGCCAGUACUCGGGAGUAAAACAGGCUUUAGCGUCAAUGGAGGAAAGGACUAUUUCUUUGGGGGAAAAAUCUGGUAAGUACUUUCAAUGCAGGAGGUUCACACCCUGAUGACGAUCAUUGUGAAGCAGCAAGGAGAACGAUCUUGUAUCCAUGGAACUGCAUUGCAGCAAAACUCAGGAAAAUCUGACAGGGAGACAGGAGGUGAAGAAAAUUUGGAUGAGUAAAGGUUGAAGAUUCUAAGUAUGGAGAAUGACCAGACAAGUAGUUAAUACAUGGAGUGCUGGAGACAGAGGAACACGCAAGACCUGAGCUGAGUGACAUCUCAGCACUGUGUUGGGCGUACAUAAAUGAGCAAGCUAUUGACACUUGGAUGGAAUUCCCAAAUGGAAUAGUGGCAGUGAGAACCCUGAAAGCAAGAAACAUGGGAUAACGAAGGGACUGCAACAUCUUUCUGGAUGGAUGGACCGGGACAGAGCAAUUGUCUUUCCUCAGCUAUUCUACAAACUCAGCUUGCUUGUACGAUUCCAGGGUGAUGGCUAUUGCUAUUGGGGACAAAGCAGCUGAAGGAUCUGCAGCACAUCUCCAGAGAACACUGGGAACCUGUUCGCCAGAGCUCCAUCAAACCUCAAGACUUCAGUUGCUGGGAGAAAUUUAUUUGUUCAAUCAUGAUAAAUGCUGAUGUGUCAACGAUGGAUUAAUCUCAGAAACCAGAUCUCCAGAUCCCUGGAGUUUGGAUGCAUUGUUUGAUUGGUUGGCAUAUUGAAUAUCUGUCAGUCGUCUGGGGGGAAACAGAAUGGGGCCACUGAUGGAUAUCAUUUAUUGGAAUGGAUACCUUUCCAGGAUACAUAUUGUUUCACACUACCAUGAAGACCACAGUGGUUGUUGUUGCAAUACAUUUGAUGGCUGAAUCAUAACAGCUAACAACUGGAGACAACGCAUUCUCAGGAUGGAUUCAAUUCCUGUACUGCAGAGGGAAGAGGCAUUGAUAACGAUCAAGAAAAAGAGUUUGUUUCUCCACAGGAGCUAUUUCCUUACUUAUUAUUUUCCUUAUUUAUUUUCUCCAGGUGGGAUGUUCCUUCCAUCAGUCGAGCCACUUGAUCUUCUGCAAGAGCAGUAGCUGAAAGCUAAAAUGAAGAGUGAUUCGAGCUAACAUUCUCUCCAGUUGCAGAGGAGGUCUCUUCACUUCUAGCUGUACCUAUUCCUGACCGUACCUAAAAUUUAUUUAUUCAUAGAUUCAGGCCCUUCCAGUCCUUCCGGUCCAACAAGCCACGCUGUCCAGUAACACAGCUAUUUAACACUAGUACAAUUUACAUUGACUAAUUAACCUAUUACCUGGUACAUUUUUGAAAUGUGGGAGGAAACUGGAGCACCCGGAGGAAACCGACGCGGUCAUGGGGAGAAUGUACAACCUUCUUACAGGCAGCACCGGAAUUGAACUCCGAAUUCUGAUGCCCCUACCUGUAAUAGCGUUGUGCUGAUCUCCACGCUACUGGGGCACCCUAUAUUAAGACAAUGCAGAAAGACCACUUAUAGGGCUGCUGCCUCUGGUAUGGUUGAAGGCAGCUCAUCUUACCUCUCAAGAUAUUGAUCUUGUCUCUUUCUCUUGUUGCAGGUUGAUGGCUCUUGAGAAUGAGGACAAAGCAACUGCAACACUUCUCCAGAGAACACGAGAAAUCUGUUCACCAGCGCUUCUUCCAACUUCACUACUGCAAUUGCGUGGAGAGAUGGUGAGAUCUACUUUUGAUAAAAUGUUAUCAAACUGAACAUUAACUUUGUUUCCUAUCUCCACAGAUGCUACCUGGCCUGCUGUGUAUUUCCAGCAUCUUCUGUUUUACUACCCAAGAUUUAUUCGUUUGUGGAUGACAACUACAGGCUCAUCAACAGAGAGAAAUCGUGUUGUUUGGAUGCAAUGUUUGAAACAAGAUUAUGUGUGCAUGUUGAUUUUGUUAAAGUGUUAGACUGUCAGUCGUCUGGGGGGAUAAUAGAAAGGGGCCAUUGAUGGAUAUCGUUAUUGGGUUGGAUACCCUUCUGGAAAAUGUAUUGUGGAUAAUUUUACACUGCGGAGAAGACCACAGCAGAGGUUGUCGCAACAUGUUUGACCUUGGAAACUUAACAGCCAACAGCAGGAGACAACUGCAUUUAGUGCCAUUGCUUGAAGGCCAGAGGGAUUCGUGAAUAGGCUUCAGUGUUAAUGGAGAAAAGCGUAUUUUUUUCUCAUCAGAACAUGAAGUCAUCUUUUUGUUAAAACGAAAAAAAGAUGGUUGCCGUCCACCAAACAGCUGGAAGAACCCCAGUAGUUCUUCAAAGAACAUCAGGAUCCUGUUCCUGAGAGCUCUUGGAAACCUUGUGUUUGCAUUCUACUAGAAAAAUAGUGAGAUUUACUUCUUCAGUGUGGUUAAAAUGAUGAAUGUUUGUGAAUCAUCUGGGGGGCAAAAUAAAGGGGCCACUGCUGGAUCUAUUUUUGUGAUGGAUACCUUUCUGGGAUACAUAUAUUGGAAAAAUUUCUUCUGGCAACCGGAGUGAAGCAAUCAAUUCUUGAAAAUUCAACGACCAGCAUCAGGAAGCAGCUUGUAUCACAUGCUCUCAGGAUGGAUUUAGUGCCAGAAUUCUUUCGGAAGAAUUGCAGUCAACAAGCUUCAGUGCCAAUGGAGAAAAGAAAUCAGAUUCUCUUGAUCUGUAAAAUGAUCAUUUUGUGGGAACGUAUAAGAAAGAUCACUGGGAACUCAUCGCAAUUAUCAACUUCAAGUGGGACCAUCGAAUUGAGACAAGACAGGUACCUUUUCUUCAACUGGUGGGUGAGAAAACACUGAUUUAUUUUUACCUUGCAACUUCUGUUAGAAUCUCCAUUCCCUGCUCUAUUUCCUGCCAUUAAAGAGAAUUACCUGCCUCAAAUGUAAAAGUUUUGUACUGAUUGCCUUUCACAGCUGUUCAUUGUGUUAAGGAACAGAAUUCUAAUCUGUACAAGUCCCAUUUGUUUUGCAGGAUUCUGAAUGUGCAGAAUGACCAGACAUGGAGUGCUGGAGAGAGAGGAGUACACAAGACCUGAGCUGAGUGACUUCUCAGCAAUGUUUCUUUUUAUUUUCAUUUCUUUUCCUUUUUUUAUUAUUUGAUAAUUCUAUAUACAACAUGAUUUUAAGCCAUCAAAACAAGUCUAGAAUCUAUACAGACUAGAAUUAUCUCGUCGACAUUUCAGUCAAAAUUUUCAAGUAGCUUAUACAUUUCACUUUUGCAUGUCUCAAGUUUUCAAACCUUCAUUCCAAAUCCCUUGCCAUCUCUGGCUCUGUCUACACUAUGAUGUAACAUCUGUGUCUUCCAGCCUCAACAAAUGCUUCUCCUGCUUUAGGUAAUCUCAGAUCAGUUCCUGCUUGGAGUUGCUCUGCAAGCUUUUUGCUUGUAUUUAUUUUUGGUGGACGAGACCUCUGAAGGAAUAUUCUGCCAUCCCUUCCCCAUUUUUGCCUCUGACCUAAUCCUUCCUGUCCAAUUCUUCCUCUAAAUAGUUUUGACCAACUUUCUGGUUCAUAUGAACCCCACAUCAUUCUCCACAACUUUCCCCAUCUUUCCCUCCCCCCCCCACCCUACUCUCCACUUUCUGCACAAUCUCCAUGACUCCUUUGUCCAUUCGUCCCUCCCUACUGAUCUCCCUCCUGGCACUUACCCCUGCAAGCAGGACAAGUGCUACACCUGCACCUUCACUUCCUCCCUCCACCUUCUCCCUCACCACCAUUCAGGACCCAAACAGUCUUUCCAGGUGAGGCAACACUCAACUUGCAAGUCUAUUGGGAUCAUCUACUGUAUCCGGUGCACCUGCUGCCGCCUCCUCUACAUUGGUGAGACCCAUUGUAAAUUGGGGAACUGCUUUGUUGAGUACCUUCGCUCUAUCCAUAACAGGUGGCAUUUUCUUGUAGUCACCCAUCUUAAUUCUACAUCUCAUUCCCAUUCUGACAUGUCAGUCCAUGGCCUCCUCUGCAUCGUGAUGUGGCCACUCUCAGGUUGGAGGAACAAUACCUCAUAUUCCAUUUGGGUAGCCUCCAACCUGAUGGGAUGAAAAUUAAUUUAUCCUACUAAUGGUAGUUUUUCCCCCACCCCCUUUCUCUUUAUCCAUUCCCCAUUCUGGCUCCCCUCUUACCCCUUCUCUUUUCAUCUGCCUAUCACCUCCCUCUGAUGACUGUCCUUCUUCCUUUUCUCCUGGAGCCCACGCCCUUCUCCUAUCGGAUUCCUUAUUCUUCUACCUUCUCCAUCUAGCACCUCCUAGCUUCUCACUUCAUCCCCACCCCCCCAACUGGCUUCACCUAUCAUCUGCCAGCUUGUACUCAUUCUCCUCCCCCUUCUUAUUCUGGAUUUUUCCCCUUCCUUUCUAGUCCUGAUGAAGUGUCUCAGUCCAAAACAUUGCCUUUCCAUAGAUACUACCUGACCUGCUGAGUUCCACACGUUUUUUCCUCUCCAUAGGUACUACCUGACCUGCUGAGUUCCACACGUGUUUAGUAUUUGUUACUCUGUAUUUCAGCAUCUGCAGAAUCUCUUGUGUUUAUUAUCUAGAUCAGGCCUCAAACAGAUAUUGUGUCGGGCUCUGGUGAACCACUUUGCGACCCCAUUGACCAGAGCUGGGCCUGAUUGGUUUAAGUUCUCUCAAAUGUGACCUCCAGACAUAUGGAAACAGCACCACCUGCAGGUUACUCUGCAAACCACACUCCAUGUGAACUUGGAAAUGUUAUCACCAUUCUUCAUCAUCGUUUUGUGGAGAUACUGGAACAGUCUGUUAGAAGGAACUUUCUCAAGCUUAAGAAUUUGGCAAUAAGUUUGGUAGUUCUCUGAAAACACCUGGCAUCUUCCCCCGUGAUUCUGAUGUUUGGAUGCGCCUCAUUGCAACGAUGCUCAGCCGUAGUGACGAAUCUUCAGCAAUGCAGAGAGUUAUGUUUUCCCGUCAGAGUCCAGUCUUUUGGGUAAUGUUUUCUUUGGAAAUUGUCUGGCAGUUGGAUCUCCAUGAGAUGAAGUCAUCAUUCUUCUUAGAAGUGUGCCAUUGACCUUCAAGAAAUUUUAAUGGUGAUGCACAGCCAUCAGAUCGUUCAGCAAGUGUAAACCUUUCCUGUUAUUGAAAAGACCCAGGUAGUUAAAGAGAGCACCUGUUGGCCCAUAUAUGCAGUUACUGCUGCUUUCACUUGUGGAAAAACCCAUUGGCACCUGAAAUGAAGAUAGGUGAUACUAUCCAUCCAUAUCUGCUGAUGCUGCUGGUGGAAACAAACUGGGUGACGUGGCAGAGAUCAGGUGCAGCCUUUGGGAAGAUCUGGUGGUGAGUAAGUUGAUCAUCAAUGCAACCUUGACUUUCAUGGAGCAGCAAAGGCACGCGAGCAUGGCAAGAGUUUUGCUGGUGAUUCCACUGUGUUCAAUUCCAUAUACAACUCUUCACAAAUGAAUGUAUGCAUGAGCUGAUAAGCAUGAGAUUGCAUGGAGCCAUUGGAGAGUCAAUUGUGGGAGUCAGCUGAGCCAGUUGUGACAUACUGCAUGCCUGAGAUCACGAAGAGCUGGUGGUGAAUCAUUUCUGGGAGCAAGAUUGGAAAACGAUCGGGGCCAGUCGGGACAUUCUGCAUGCCGGAGAUUGCUCAGAGCCAUUGGCAAGUCAAUUGUGGGAGCAGGAUUGGAAAAAUGACCGGGGCCAGUCGGGACAUUCUGCAUGCCGGAGAAUGUCCCGACUUUAGCAAGUCAAUUGUGGGAGGAAGAUUGGAAAAUGCGAAUGGGGCUAGUUGGAACAUUCUGCAUGCCGGAGAUUGUUCGGAGCCAUUGGCAAGUCAAUUGUAGGAGGAAGAUUGGAAAAAGUGAGUGGGGCCAGUCGGGACAUUCUGCAUGCCAGAGAUCAUGGAGUGAUUAUGCACUUGACAAGGCCCAAUAAAAGGAAGUCAGGUGUAAGUGAAGAGGUUUUUGUGGGAGCGACCAUUGUGUGAAUUCGCCAGUGUAGAGUGGAAGAUUUGAGGCUUAGCUCAAAGAGGCGAAGGGUAGAGUAAGUUUCUGGUAAGUUUUUUUUCUUUCUUUGUUAAUGCCCAGCUCGUGCAGUGAGAAUGAUGGGUCCAGGGUCAGCAAUGGGUACUUCAUGUUGGAUGUGGGAAUUCUGGGUGAGCUGCAGUCUCCCUGAAAAAUACAAUUAGGUGAAGUACAUCCAGCUGCAGCUCCUUACAGACUGUGUUAGGGAAAUAUGGCUGCAGUUUGGUGACCUACAGCAUCUGCAGAUUUUCUCUUCUUUGAGAUUUGACAGAUGAAUGCAUGGCUGUAGAAUUGGCAUGGCGAUCAGAGUUUCAUAUUUUUGGCUCAUUUGUAUCUCUUCUGGGGAGGAUAUGACCUAUGAAAAAAGGACCAGUUACACCUGAACAUGAGGGGCACAAAAUAUCCUUGCAGGCAGAUUUGCUGGAGCUGUUGGUGAGGAUUUAAACUACAUUGAUAGUGGACUGGGAACCAGAGUGAUAGGCCAGACGAUGGGGCAGUUGGUGUGCAGGUAGAUGCAGUGUGUAGAGAGACUGAGAAAGGACAGGUAUUCUAUAGGGUAAAAUUUCAAUCAAUGGGAUUGGGUGAAGUGUGUCUAUUUUAAUGCUAUCAGCAACAAGGGUAAAGAACUUAGAGCAUGGAUCAGUACAUGGAACUAUGAUGUUUUGGCCAUUACGGACAUAUGCCUGUCACGAGGGCAGGAGUGGCUGCUGAAUGUUCCAUCCCAAUAGCAACAGAGACACUGAGGAACAGAUCAGGAGCCAGGUUUAAGAAAGGUGCCAAAGUUAACAGGGUUGUUGUCAUGGAGGACUUCAACUUCCCUCAUAUUGAUUGGAACCUCCUUAUCGUAAAAGGUUAAAUGGGGUGAAAUUUGUUAGGUGUGCCCAGGAAGCAUUGGUGACAGGCUGAAGAGACGAGAUGCCAUACUAUAUCUGGUGCUAGGCAGAGCGUUGGAUCUCUUGAAGAGUAUUAAGGAGGUUAGUUUCCUGGGCUUGAUGGUAUAUAGGCAGGUUAUUGACAGAGGAAAGAAACGAGAUGACUGGGGCUUUGACCAAUAUCUUCAUGUCCUCUCUAGCUGCAGGCAAGGUCCUGGAGGACUGGCAAGUAGUUAAUGUUGUUCCGUUAUUCAAGAAGAGAACAAGGGAUAAUCCUGGAAACUAUAGACCAGUGAGUCUCACGUCAGUGGUAGGGAAGUUAUAAGGGAGAAUACAUUGGGAUAGGAUUUACAUGCAUUUGGAAAACCCUGGCCCAAUUAGGGAAAGCCAGCAUGGCUCUGUGCAGGGCAAAUUGUGCCUUACAAGCCUGAUUGAGUUUUUUGAUGAGGUGAUAAGGGUGAUUGAUCAAGGUAGAGCUGUGGAUGUUAUAUACACAGAUUUUAGUAAAGUGUUUGACAAGGUCCCUCAUGGGAGGCAGAAGAUUAAGAUGCAUGGGAUUGAUGGUAUACCAGCAGUUUGGAUUCAGAACGGUCUUACCCAUAGAAAACAGAGGGUAGUGGUUGAAAGGACUUAUCUAGAGGUCUGUGAUUAGUGGUCUUCUGCGGGGAUCAGUACUGGGACCUCUGCUGUUUGUGAUGUACUGUAUAGAAAUGACAAGAAUGAAAAUGUAGAUGGGUGGGUUAGUAAGUUUGAAAUGUUUGAUACUGGAAGGCAUGCAUUUAAAGUGAGAGGAAUUGACUUCAAAGGAGCUGCGAAGGGUAAGGAUUUUACCUAGAGAUGGGGUGUGCCUGGGGUGGUGUUAGAGGCAGAUACAUGACUGAUUUUUAAGUGAUGUUUAAAUAAGCACAUGAAAGUGAGGGAAAUGGAAGGAUUGUGUAGGCAGAAGAGAUUAGUUUAGUUGGUCAUUUGAUUACUAAUUUAAUUGGUUUGGCACAACAUUGUGGGCUGAAAGGUCUGUUCCUCUGCUGUACCGUUCUAUGAUCUACGAACGUUCCAUGUUCCAAGUGCAGUUUGACCAGUGCCUUUUAAAGCUUCAGCAUUACCUCCUUGCUUUUAUAUUCCAGUCCUCUCAAAAUGAAUGCUAGCAUUGAAUUUGCCUUCCUUUCCACAGACUCAACAUGCAAGUUCAACUUUUGGAAUCCCAAGUCCCUUUGCACCUCUGAUUUUUGAAUUUGCUGCUGUUCAGAAAACUGUCUAUGCCUUUACUCCUACCAGUGCAUGACCCUAUACUUCCGUACACUAUAUUCCAUGUGCCACUUCUUUGUCUAUUCUCCAAAUUCUUCUGCAGACUCCCUUGUUCCUGAAUGUUACUGGUCUUUCCACCUAGCUUUGUAUUCCCUGCAAACUUGACCACAAAGCCAUUAAUUCCUUCAUCAAAACCAUUGAUAUAUAACGUGAAAAGAAGCAAUCGGACUCUGACCCCUGCGGAACACCACAUGUCGCUGGCAGCCAAACAGAAAAGGCCCCGCUACUUCUUGUUUUGGCGCUGGAUACAGUCUGUCAUUGGCUCAGUUGGGCAGCAGACGGCAACCAAUGAGGCAGACCUCACACCUGCUGAACAUCUACUGCAGGAUGCUACUGGAAUGAUGUGGUUGGGAAUCACUUUUGCAGGUUUCCACCCUGAUACGGAUGUUCAGACUAAUUGUAACGGUGCUUAGCUGUAGCAGUGAGGCAUUCAGGAAAGCAGAGACUGGUGUUUUCCUCUUAGAAUCCAGUCCUUUGGGUACUGUUAGCUUUGAAAUUGUCUGGCAGUUGGAUCUCCAUGAGAUGAAGUCAUCAUUCUUCCUAGAAAUGUGGCAUUGACCAUCAAGAAAUUUUAAUGGUGAUGCACAGCCGUCUGAUCGUUCAGCAAGUGUAAACCUUUCCUGUUAUUGAAAAGACCCAGGUAGUUAAAGAGAGCACCUGUUGGCCCAUAUAUGCAGUUACUGCUGUCUUCACUUGUGGAAAAACCCAUUGGCACCUGAAAUGAAGAUAGGUGAAACCGUCCAUCCAUAUCUGCUGAUGUCUCUGGUGGAAACAAAUUGGGUGACGUGGCAGAGGUCAGAUGCAGCCCUUUGGGAAGAUCUGGUGGUAAGUAAGUUGAUCGUCAAUGCAAACUUGACCUUCAUGGAGCAGCAAAGGCACGCGAGCAUGGCAAGAGUUUUGCUGGUGAUUGCAAUGUGUUCAAUUCCAUAUACAACUCUUCACAAAUGUAUGUAUGCAUGGGCUAAUAAGCAUGAGAUUGCAUGGAGCCAUUGGCAAGUCAAUUGUGUGAGCAAGACUGGUAAAACGAUCGAGAACAAGUCGGGACAUUCUGCAUGCUGGAGAUUGCUCAAAGCCAUUGGCAAGUCAAUUGUGGGAGCAGGAUUGGAAAAAUGAUCGGGGCCAGUCGGGACAUUCUGCAUGCCGAAGAUUGCUGGGAGUCAUUAGCAAGUCAAUUGUGGGAACAAGAUUGGAAAAACGAUCGGGGCCAGUCAGGACAUUCUGCAUGCCUGAGAUUGCACAGAGCCAUUGGCAAGUCAAUUGUGGGAACAAGAUUGGAAAAACGAUCGGGGCCAGUCAGGACAUUCUGCAUGCCUGAGAUUGCACAGAGCCAUUGGCAAGUCAAUUGUGGGAGCAGGAUUGGAAAAAUGAUCGGGGCCAGUCGGGACAUUCUGCAUGCCGAAGAUUGCUGGGAGUCAUUAGCAAGUCAAUUGUGGGAACAAGAUUGGAAAAACAACUGGGGCCAGUCGAGACAUUCUGCAUGCUGGAGAUUGCUGGGAGUCAUUAGCAAGUCAAUUGUGGAAGCAGGAUUGGAAAAACGAUCGAGGCCAGUCAGGACAUUCUGCAUGCCGGAGAUUGUUCAAAUCCAUUGACAAGUCAAUUGUGGGAGCAGGAUUGGGAAAACGAUCGGGGCCAGUCAGGACAUUCUGCAUGCCUGAGAUUGCACAGAGCCAUUGGCAAGUCAAUUGUGGGAGCAGGAUUGGAAAAAUGAUCGGGGCCAGUCGGGACAUUCUGCAUGCCGAAGAUUGCUGGGAGUCAUUAGCAAGUCAAUUGUGGGAACAAGAUUGGAAAAACAACCGGGGCCAGUCGAGACAUUCUGCAUGCUGGAGAUUGCUGGGAGUCAUUAGCAAGUCAAUUGUGGGAGCAAGACUGGAAAAACAACCGGGGCCAGUUGAGACAUUCUGCAUGCUGGAGAUUGCUAGGAGUCAUUAGCAAGUCAAUUGUGGGAGCAAGACUGGAAAAACAACCGGGGCCAGUCGAGACAUUCUGCAUGCUGGAGAUUGUUCAAAUCCAUUGACAAGUCAAUUGUGGGAGCAGGAUUGGGAAAACAAUCGGGGCCAGUCAGGACAUUCUGCAUGCCUGAGAUUGCACAGAGCCAUUGGCAAGUCAAUUGUGGAAGCAGGAUUGGAAAAACAACCGGGGCCAGUCAGGACAUUCUGCAUGCCGGAGGUUGUUCAAAUCCAUUGACAAGUCAAUUGUGGAGGCAGGAUUGGGAAAACAAUCGGGGCCAGUCAGGACAUUCUGCAUGCCUGAGAUUGCACAGAGCCAUUGGCAAGUCAAUUGUGGGAGCAGGAUUGGAAAAAUGAUCGGGGCCAGUCGGGACAUUCUGCAUGCUGAAGAUUGCUGGGAGUCAUUGGCAAGUCAAUUGUGGGAGCAGGAUUGGAAAAACAACCGGGGCCAGUCAGGACAUUCUGCAUGCUGGAGAUUGCUCAAAGCCAUUGGCAAGUCAAUUGUGGGAGCAGCAUUGGAAAAACAACCGGGGCCAGUCAGGACAUUCUGCAUGCCGGAGAUUGCUCAAAGCCAUUGGCAAGUCAAUUGUGGGAGCAGCAUUGGAAAAACGAUUGGGGCCAGUUGGGACAUUGUGCAUGCCUGAGAUUGCUGGGAGACAUUGGCAAGUCAAUUGUGGGAGCAGGACUGGAAAAACGAUCGGGGCCAAUCAGGACAUUCUGCAUACCCGAGAUUGCUCAAAGCCAUUGGCAAGUCGAUUGUGGGAGCAGGAUUGGAAAAACGAUCGGGGCCAGUGGAGACAUUCUGCAUGCCUGAGAUUGCACAGAGCCAUUGGUAAGUCAAUUGUGGGAGCAGGAUUGGAAAAACGAUCGGGGCCAGUCAGGACAUUCUGCAUGCCAGAGAUUGCUGGGAGUCAUUAGCAAGUCAAUUGUGGGAGCAAGAUUGGAAAAUGAUCGGGGCCAGUCGAGACAUUCUGCAUGCUGGAGAUUGCUGGGAGUCAUUAGCAAGUCAAUUGUGGGAGCAAGAUUGGAAAAACAAUCGGGGCCAGUUGGGACAUUCUGCAUGCCGGAGAUUGCUGGGAGUCAUUAGCAAGUCAAUUGUGGGAGCAAGACUGGAAAAACAACCGGGGCCAGUCGAGACAUUCUGCAUGCCAGAGAUUGCUGGGAGUCAUUAGCAAGUCAAUUGUGGGAGCAGGAUUGGAAAAACAAUCGGGGCCAGUUGGGACAUUCUGCAUGCCAGAGAUUGCUGGGAGUCAUUAGCAAGUCAAUUGUGGGAGCAAGAUUGGAAAAAGUGAGUGGGGCCAGUCAGGACUUUCAUUUUUAAAUCUUUUUUAUUAAUUAUUAUUGAAAAUCAACAAAAAUAUACAUUAAAGUAAUCAAGUCAACAUGUCAAUAUGUACAAUAAGAAUUAAAUGAUCAAAUAACUGAUUAACAAAGCUAAACAAUAUAUCAAUAAUAAUAAGAAAAAAUAAAUGUUAAAAGUAUUUUUUUGGAAAAAUGAAAGAUGGACAAAAGAACCCCUGCUAACUAAAACAAAAAAAACCCCUACUAACAGAAAAAAAAAAAGAAAAAUAAAACCCCAUUGGGAACACAGCCCUGGAGCGGUAUACACCAUACAAGCUUCUAUAAAAGAAAAACAUCAAUCCGCCAACUCAAAUCCAUUUAAACAAGAAUCGGAAGGGGACCACCUUAAUUAACUCAAAUCAAAUGAUAGUAGCGGGCAAAAGAUCCCCACCUUUUCUCAAAGUCAAAUCAAGGAUCAAAAGUUCAACUUCUGAUUUUCUCCAAACAAAGACACAACAUCACCUGAGAGAACCAUUGUAUCAAAAGUGGGACCAGAGGUACCUUUCCAUUUCAAUAAAAUAGCCCUUCUGGUCAAUAAUGUAACAAACGCAAUUACAAGUUGGUCUGAUAUAGAAAUACCAUGAAUAUAUUGAGGAAUUAUACCGAACAAAACUGUCAAUUUAUUAGGUUGUAAAUUAAUUUUUAAAGCUUUAGAAAUUGUAGAGAAAAUGGAUUUCCAAAACUGUUUCAGUACAGAACAGGACUAAAACAUAUGUGUCAAUGUAGCUAUCUCAGUUUUACAUCUAUCACACUGACUAUCAACAUGAGGAAAUAUUUUAGACAAUCUCUCCUUUGUCAAAUAGUAACAAUGUGCAAUUUUAAAUUGAAUUAGAGAGUGACUGGCACAAAUUGAAGAAGAGUUAACCAACUUCAAAAUUCGCAACCAAUCCUCUGUUAUCCAGGUCAUGUUAAGCUCUCUUUCCCAAUCUUGAUUAAUCUUAAGUAAAGGAUAAUUGUACUGUUGCAAUAGUAAAUUAUAAAUUUUCCCAAUAAAACCUUUCACUAAAGGAUACAUUUUUAAAAUUAUGUCUAACAGGUUAGAAUCUUGUAUAUAUGGGAAAUUACGUAAAUAUUCUUGUAAGAAAUGUCUGACCUGAAGAUAUUGCAAGAAAUGUGAGUACGAGAGAGAGUAUUUAGUUACUAAUUUCUCAAAAGACAUCAAUCAGCCUUCUUGGAACAGAUCCAUGAAGGAAUAGACUCUUUUAUUCCUCCAAAGAAAAAAGGUAGGAUCACUAAGUGAAGGUAUAAAUAAAUAAUUUCGAUAAAUUAAACUAAGAAGGUUAAAUUUUUUUGAGAUUAAAAAAAUUACGAAACUGGUACCAAAAUUGUAAUGCUCAGAGCCAUUGGCAAGUCAAUUGUGGGAGCAAGAUUGGAAAACAAUCGGGGCCAGUCGGGACAUUUUGCAUGCCGGAGAUUGCUGGGAGACAUUGGCAAGUCAAUUGUGGGAGCAGGAUUGGAAAAAGCGAGCGGGGCCAUUCCGGACAUUCUGCAUGACUGAGAUCGCUGGGUGAUUAUUCACUUAACAACAGCCAGUACCAAGAAGUCAGAUGGAAGCGAAGUGAUCAUUGUGGGAAUGGCCAUGUGUGAGUGGACCUGUGUAAGAGUGGUGGAUUUGAGACUUCAGUGAGACGAGAAGAAGGGUAGGGUAAGUUUCUGGUAAGCCACUUUCUUUCUUCGUCCAUUAGUGACUAGCUAGUGUAGUGAGAAAGUGCGCAAUGCCAGUGAUGGGUUCUUUAUGUCAGAUCUUUGAAUUCUGGGUGAACUGCUGUCUCCCUGAGAACUACAAUUGCAUGUUGUACAUUCAGCUGCAGCUCCUUACAAACCUUGUUAGGGAAAUGGAACUGCAGUUGAAUGAGCUGCAGAUCAUAUGGGAGAAUGAGGAGGGGGUAGUUAAGAUAAGCAGAGAGGUAGUUACUUCUUGUUGCAGGAGGCAGUUUGCUGGGUAACUGUCAGGAGAGGAAAAGGCAAUAGGCAGACAGUGCAGAGUAACCCUGUGCUGUUCCCCUCAAUAACAAGUAUAGCACUUUGCAUACUGUUGGGGGGGGGAAGGCAGAUUGACCAAAUGGGGGAAAACUGCACCGUCCAGGUCUCUGGAACUGAGUUUAGCUCUGUGGCUCUGAAGGGAAGCAGGUGAAGAUAAAUACGGUGUUCAGAGGGCAUUCUUACAAGAUUUAUUGAGUUUUUUGAUGAGGGGACGAGGGUAAUUGAUGAAACUAGAGCUGUGGAUGUUAUCUACAUAGAUUUUGGUGAAGUGUUUGAUAAUGUCCCUCAUGGGAGGCUUAUGCAGAAGUUUAAGGUGUACGGGAUUGAUGGUGAAUUGGCUGUUUGGAUUCAGAACUGUCUUGCCUAUUGAAAACAGAGGGUAGUGGUUAAAAGGACCAAUUCUAGCUGGAGGUCUGUGGUUAGUGGUGUUCUGCGGGGAUCAGUACUGGGACCUCUGCUGUUUGUGAUGUACUGUAUAUAAAUGACAAGAAUGAAAAUGUAGAUGGGUGGGUUAUUAAAUUUAAAAUGCCUUAUACCGGACGGCAUGCUCUUAAGUAGAGAGGGGGUGAGUUCAAAGGAGAUGUGAGGGGUAAGGUUUUUACACGGAGUGCAAGGUGUGCCUGGGGUGGUGGUAAAGGCAGAUACACUACGUACUUUUUAAGAGAUAUUUAGAUAAGCAGAUAAAUGUGGGAGACAUGGAAGGAUAUGGACGUUGUGUUGGCAGAAGGGAUUAGUGUAGUUGGAUACUUGAUUGCUAAUUUAAUUGGUCUGGUACAACAUUUUGGGCCGAAAGGUCUGUUCCUGUGCUAUACCAUACUUCGUUUUAUCUUCCAUGUUCCAUGUUCCAAGUGCCAUGCGACUAAUGCCUUAUAGAGCUUCAGCAUUACAUCCUUCCUUUUAUAUUCUAGUCCUCUUGAAAUGAAUGCUAACAUUGCAUUUGCCUUCCUCACCACUAACUCAACCUGCAAGUUAACCUUUAGGAAUCCUGCAUGAGGACUCCUAAGUCCUUUUGCACUUCUGAUUUCUGAAUUUUCUCCCUGUUCAGAAAAUAGUCUGCACCUUUACUCCUUCUACCAGACUGCAUGACCCUAUACUUCCCUACAUUUAGUGCAUGUGCCACUUCUUUGCCCAUUCUCCUAAUCCGUCUAAGUUCUUCUGCAGACUUCCUUGUUCCUGAACACUAUCAUAUUCCUUCACUUAGCUUUGUAUUGCCUGCAAACUUGGCCACAGAGCCAUCAAUUUCUUCAUCCAAAUCUUUGACAUAUGAUGUGAAAAGAAGCAAUCGAACUCUGACCCCUGCGGAACUCCACAUGUCACCAGCACUGGAUACAGUCUGUCGCUGGUGCAGUUGGGCAGCAGACAGCAAUCAAUGAGGCAGCCCUCACACCUACUGGAUGUCUACUGUAGGAUGCUACUGGACUGACACUGGCUCUGGAAUCUCUUUCGUAGAAAACAUUUGGCGGCUUCCGCCCUGAUUCUGAUGUUCGGAUGUGCCUCAUUGCAACAGUGCUCAGCUGUAGUGGUGAGGGUUUCAGGAGAGCAAAAAGUAGUAGUUUCUUCUCUGAAUCCACUCCUUUGAGUAACAUUUGCUUUGAUAAUUGUCCUGCAGUUGGAUCUCCAUGAUGUGGCAUUGACCAUCAAGAAAUUUUAAUGUGAUGCACAGCCAUCUGAUCGUUCAGCAAGUGUAAACCUUUCUUGUUAUUGAAAAGACCCAGGUAAUUAAAGUAGGCACCUGUUGGCCCAUAUAUGCAGUUACUGCUGUCCUCACUUGUGGAAAAACCCAUUGGCACCUGAAAUGAAGAUAGGUGAAACCGUCCAUCCAUACCUUCUGAUGCCUCUGGUGGAAACAAAUUAGGUGACGUGGCAGAGAUCAGAUGCAGCCCCUUGGGAAGAUCUGGUGGUGGUAAGUUGAUUGUCAAUGCAACCUUGACCUUCAUGGAGCAGCAAAGGCACGCGAGCAUGGCAAGAGUUUUGCUGGUGAUUCCACUGUGUUCAAUUCCAUAUACAAUUCUUCACAAAUGAAUGAAUGCACGAGCUGAUAAGCUGAGAUCACAAGGAGCUGUUGACAAGUCAAUUGUGGGAGCAAGAUUGGAAAAAGCAAGAGGGGACAGUUGGCACAGAUGCAUGCCGGAUAUUGCGAGAAGCAAUUAUCAAUUCCUUUACGAGAGCGACCAGUCAAGACAUUUGGCAUGCCAGAGAUAGCUAGGAUCCAUUCUUGUGUCAAUUAUGGGAGAAAAGAUUUGAAAAAGCGAGUGGCGCACGCCAAGAAAUUCUGCAUGACUGAGGCUGCGGGUGAUAAUGCACUUGACAAGGGCCAAUAACAAGAAGUCAGAUGUAAGCGAAGCGUCACUGCAGGAAUGGCCAUUGUGUUACUGGGACAGUGUUACAGUGGAAGAUUUGUAGCUUGGCUCAAAAAGGCUUCAGCAAGAAGGGGCGAAGCAUAAGGUAAGUUUCUGGUAAGCUCCUUUCUUUCUUUGUCUAGCUAGUGUAGAGAGAAUGUGUCUAGUUUCAGUGGGUCCUCAUGUCAGAUGUGGAUAUUCUGGACAAACAGCAGUCUCUCUGAAAUGCAUCCAACUGCAGCUCCCUACAGACUGUGUUAGGGAACUAGAGCUGCAUUUGGGUGACCUAUAGCUUAUAUGGGAGAAUGAGCAGGAUAUAGUUAAGGACUACAGAGAGGUAGUCACCCCUAAGUUGCAGGAGGCAGCUUGCUGGGUGAUUGUCAGGAGAGGGAAAGGGAACAGGCAGACAUUAUAUAGAGAACCCAUGUGCUGUUCCCCUCUGAUACUGUUGGUGCGGGAAGGGGGAGCUACCUAACGGGGGCAUGUCACAGGGUCGAAGUCACUGAGUCAGAAGGGAAGUGGGGAGAAGAGGAGUGCCACAUUCAGAGGGGAUUCUAUACUUAGACAAGCAGAUAGGCAAUUAAGUGGAUGUGAAAGAGACACCCAGAUGGAAUUUUGUUUCCUAGGUGACAAGGUCAGUGAUGUUUCAGAUCAGUCCACAGCAUUGUCUCGAUGGGUGGACGGAGGUUGUGGCACAUAUUGGUACCCACAACAUAUAGGUAGGAAAAUGGAUGAGGUCCUGAAGAGAGAAUGUUGGGAGCUAGAAAGUAAGCUGAAAAGCAGGACCUCAAGGGUAGUAAUCUCUGAAGUGCUGCAUGUGCUAUGCACCAGUGAGGGUAAGAAUAGGAUGAUUUGGCAGAUCAAUGCAUGGCUGAGGAACUGGUGCAGGGGGUAGGGUUUAGGAUUUUUGGCUCAUUGGUAUCUCUUCUGGGGAAGCCAGGGCUGUAUAAAAACAAUGGGUUACACCUGAAGUUGAGGGGCACAAAAUAUCCUUGCAGGGAGGUUUGCUAGAGCUUUUGGCGAGGAUUUAAACUAAUUCGGGAGAGGGAUGGGAGCCAGAGUGAUAGGCCAGACGAUGGGGCAGUUGGUGUGCAGGUAGAUGCAGUGUGUAGAGAGACUGAGAAAGGACAGGUAUUCUAUAGAGUAAAAUUGCAAUCACUGGGAGUGGGUGAACAGAGUCCAUUUUAAUGCUAUCAGCAACAAGGGUAAAGAACUUGAGCAUGGGUCAGUACAUGGAACUAUGAUGUUGUGGCCAUUACAGAGACAGGCCUGUCACAAGGGUAGGAAUGGUUGGUGGAUGUUUUGGCAUUUAUAUGUUUCAAUAGGGAUAGGGAGGGAGGUGAAAGAGGUGUGGAAGUGUCAUUGUUAAUCAAGGGUAGCAUCACAGCUGCAGAAAGGGAGAGCAACAUGUAGGUACUGUCCACCUAGACAGUGUAGGUGGAAAUCAGAAACUGGAAAGGAGCAAUCACUCUAUUAGAAUAUUCAGUUGAACUCACGACCCCCACCCCAAUCCCCAUUUGCAACAGAGACACUGAGGAACAGAUCGAGAUGCAAUUUUGCAAAGGUGCGGAAAUACUAGGGAUAUUUUCAUGCAGCUCUUCAAAUUUCCUAAUAUUCAUUGGUACCUCCUUAGUUAAAUGGUUCAGAUGGGGUGGAAUUUGUUAGGUGUGUCCAGGAAGCAUUCCUGACACAAUAUGUAGACAGGUUGACGAGAGACAGACCACACUAUAUCUGGUGCUAGGCAGAGAGGUGGAGAAGGCCCCAGUGCCUUAUAGGAUAUACACCAGGGUAUAGAGAGAGAUGACAUUACUGGGGCCUUGACCAAUAUCUUCAUGUCCUCUCUUGCCACAGUAGAGCUGGAGGUCUAGUGAGUAGGUAAUUUUGUUAACUCUUUCAACAAGAGAACAAUGGAUAAUCUUGGAAACUAUAGUGUGACGAGUCUCACAUCAGUGGUUGGGAUGGUACUGGAAACUAUUCAUAGUGAUAGGGUUGAUGAGCAUUUGGGAAUCCAUGGCUGAAUUAGGAAAAGCCAGCAUGGCUUUGUGCUGGGCAAAUUGCACCGUACCAACUUGAUAGAGUUUUUGGACGAGGUGAGAAGGGUAAUUUAUGAAGGUAGAGGUGAGGAUGUUACUUACGUGGAUUUUAGUAAGGUGUUUGACAGGGUCUCUCAUGGGAGGCUCAUGCAGACAUUUAAGAUGCAUGGCUUUGAUGGCAAAUUGGAUGUUUGGAUUCAGCACUAGCUUGCCUAUCUAAAAUAGUGAGUAGUGGUCGAAGGACCUAUUCUAGCUGGAGAUGUGUAAUUAGUGGUGUUCCACAGGGAUCAGUAUUCAGACUUCUGCUGUUUGUGAUGUUCUGUAUAUAAAUGGCAAGAAUGAAAAUGUAGAUGGGUGGGUUAUUAAGUUUGAAAUGUCUAAUACCGGAGGACAUGCAUUUAAGGUGAGAGGGAAUGAAUUCAAAGGAUGUUGAAGGGUAAAUUUUACAUAGAGCCUGAGGUGUGCCAAGGGGUGGUAGAGGCAGAUCGAUUUCAGAUUUUUAAGAGAUGUUUAGAUAAGCACAUGAAUGUGAGGGAAAAGGAAGGAUGCAGAUAUUGUGUAGGCAGAAUGGAUUAGUUUAGUUGGCCAUUUGAUUACUAAUUUAAUUGGACCAGUACAACAUUGUGGGCUGAAAGGUCUGACCAGUGCCUUAUAAAGUUUUUGCCUUGCUUUUAUAUUCCAGUGUUCUCAAAAUGAAUGCUAAUAUUGAAUUUGCUUUCCUUACCCAAGACUCACCUUGCAAGUUCAUCUUUAGGAAUCCUGCACAUGGCAUCCCAAACCCCAUUACACCUCCGAUUUCUGAAUUUACUCCACGUUUAGAAAGCAGUCUGUGACUUUAAACCUUCUACCAAAUACUUCCGUAACUGUAGUCCACCUGCCAGUUUUUUGUCCAUUCUCUAAAUCUGUCUAAGCUCUUCUGCAGGCUCCCUUGUUCAUGACACUACCUGUUCCUCCACAUGAGAAAAUCUGCUGAUGUUGGAAAUUCAAACAACACACAUAAAAUGUUGCUGGAACGCAGCAGACCA